ACGUACACUCCUGCGGGAGGCAGCAGUGGGGAAUAUUGCACAAUGGGCGCAAGCCUGAUGCAGCCAUGCCGCGUGUGUGAAGAAGGCCUUCGGGUUGUAAAGCACUUUCAGCGGGGAGGAAGGCGAUACGGUUAAUAACCGUGUUGAUUGACGUUACCCGCAGAAGAAGCACCGGCUAACUCCGUGCCAGCAGCCGCGGUAAUACGGAGGGUGCAAGCGUUAAUCGGAAUUACUGGGCGUAAAGCGCACGCAGGCGGUCUGUCAAGUCGGAUGUGAAAUCCCCGGGCUCAACCUGGGAACUGCAUUCGAAACUGGCAGGCUUGAGUCUUGUAGAGGGGGGUAGAAUUCCAGGUGUAGCGGUGAAAUGCGUAGAGAUCUGGAGGAAUACCGGUGGCGAAGGCGGCCCCCUGGACAAAGACUGACGCUCAGGUGCGAAAGCGUGGGGAGCAAACAGGAUUAGAUACCCCAGUAGUCCCAUGA
rnacentral:rRNA from 1 species